rnacentral:rRNA from 1 species
GUUCAAAAGUGAAAGACGGUCUUGCUGUCACUUAUAGAUGGAUCCGCGCUGCAUUAGCUAGUUGGUAAGGUAACGGCUUACCAAGGCAACGAUGCAUAGCCGACCUGAGAGGGUGAUCGGCCACACUGGAACUGAGACACGGUCCAGACUCCUACGGGAGGCAGCAGUAGGGAAUCUUCCGCAAUGGGCGAAAGCCUGACGGAGCAACGCCGCGUGAGUGAUGAAGGUCUUCGGAUCGUAAAACUCUGUUAUUAGGGAAGAACAUAUGUGUAAGUAACUGUGCACAUCUUGACGGUACCUAAUCAGAAAGCCACGGCUAACUACGUGCCAGCAGCCGCGGUAAUACGUAGGUGGCAAGCGUUAUCCGGAAUUAUUGGGCGUAAAGCGCGCGUAGGCGGUUUUUUAAGUCUGAUGUGAAAGCCCACGGCUCAACCGUGGAGGGUCAUUGGAAACUGGAAAACUUGAGUGCAGAAGAGGAAAGUGGAAUUCCAUGUGUAGCGGUGAAAUGCGCAGAGAUAUGGAGGAACACCAGUGGCGAAGGCGACUUUCUGGUCUGUAACUGACGCUGAUGUGCGAAAGCGUGGGGAUCAAACAGGAUUAGAUACCCUGGUAGUCCACGCCGUAAACGAUGAGUGCUAAGUGUUAGGGGGUUUCCGCCCCUUAGUGCUGCAGCUAACGCAUUAAGCACUCCGCCUGGGGAGUACGACCGCAAGGUUGAAACUCAAAGGAAUUGACGGGGACCCGCACAAGCGGUGGAGCAUGUGGUUUAAUUCGAAGCAACGCGAAGAACCUUACCAAAUCUUGACAUCCUUUGACAACUCUAGAGAUAGAGCUUUCCCCUUCGGGGGACAAAGUGACAGGUGGUGCAUGGUUGUCGUCAGCUCGUGUCGUGAGAUGUUGGGUUAAGUCCCGCAACGAGCGCAACCCUUAAGCUUAGUUGCCAUCAUUAAGUUGGGCACUCUAAGUUGACUGCCGGUGACAAACCGGAGGAAGGUGGGGAUGACGUCAAAUCAUCAUGCCCCUUAUGAUUUGGGCUACACACGUGCUACAAUGGACAAUACAAAGGGCAGCGAAACCGCGAGGUCAAGCAAAUCCCAUAAAGUUGUUCUCAGUUCGGAUUGUAGUCUGCAACUCGACUACAUGAAGCUGGAAUCGCUAGUAAUCGUAGAUCAGCAUGCUACGGUGAAUACGUUCCCGGGUCUUGUACACACCGCCCGUCACACCACGAGAGUUUGUAACACCCGAAGCCGGUGGAGUAACCUUUUAGGAGCUAGCCGUCGAAG